CUCCAAGCAACUGAACCACCACUGGUCUCACUCAAACUGUACCUCGUGUGCUUUAUCAUGUCAAAAGAAAAUUCCUGAACACUAUAAUAAGGGCUUUACAAUGAUGUUGUUAAAGAAAAAAAAUGGUGGUGUGGUUCUAGAAAAGUGGGAAAUUAAUAUUUCUUCAUGGGAGUGAAUGAGAGUAACCAUCUAGUGAAGACACAGUGACUGCUAAUUGCAUUUUAAAGUAGGAAAUAUGGAAAGGAUCUGGACAGCAGCUCAGGCGGCGCUGAUGCGAAACAGGAUGCCCCAGUGCUGAAGUCACCCGCUGAGCCUCGCAGCGCGUGAAACGCUGGGGGGCAGAGACGACCAGGGAGAGGGGAGAGACAACCGGGCUUCUGAGCUAAAAGGGCUCCCACCCGCCUGCUCCCGCCUGGAGAUCGGAUCGGACGUGUGCUUUACAGGAUAAACGCAAUCCCCUCUGCAAGCCAGCCAGCUUGGGAAACGACCCCCUUACCUGAUGCCGCCCACCCCCCACUUCACUCCUGGGCUGACCGGUUUACCCCCCCUGAAGCUUGCUGUGCUUGUGUGUGUGUGUGUGUCGGGACGGGCUGCUCAAGGACCACAAUCCACCUGCGGGACAGCGCGAGACAGACCCGGGGCCCAACGCCUCCAUUUUUAAAACGCUAAGUGUUAAAACACUCCCUUGUUUUCCACUCCAGUACCCAUCUACCUUUUCUCAGGAACAGGCCCUUAGUGGCCACUCUUACUAUUCUGGACAGCUGCCUAAGUCCCUAAGGCAAGGCGGCUUAGGACCAAGGACCAAGUGACCAAGUGACCAAGUGACCAAGUGACCAAGUAACCAAGUUA